rnacentral:rRNA from 1 species
AGUCCCUACGGGAGGCAGCAGUGAGGAAUAUUGGUCAAUGGGCUUACGCCUGAACCAGCCAAGUCGCGUGAGGGAAGACUGCCCUAUGGGUUGUAAACCUCUUUUGUCAGGGAGCAACGCCGGCUACGUGUAGCCGGACUGAGAGUACCUGAAGAAAAAGCAUCGGCUAACUCCGUGCGAGCAGCCGCGGGAAUACAGAGGAUGCGAGCGUUAUCCGGAUUUAUUGGGUUUAAAGGGGGGGGAGGCGGAAUGCCAAGU